GACGAACGCUGGCGGCGUGCUUAAUACAUGCAAGUCGAACGGAAAGGCGCUGCUUUUGUGGGGUGCUUGAGUGGCGAACGGGUGAGUAAAACGUGAGUAACCUGUACUUGAAUUUGGGGUAACUUCAGGAAACUGGGGCUAAUACCGGAUAGGAGCUCCUGAUGCAUGGUGGGGGUUGGAAAGAUUCGGCGGUUGUGGAUGGACUGGCGGCUUAUCAGCUGGUUGGUGGAGUAGUGACGUACGAAGGCUUUGAAGGGUAGCCGGCAUGAGAGGGUGACCGGCCACAUUGCGCCUGAGAGAGGGCGCAGUCUGCUACGGGAGGCAGUGGUCGAGAAUAUUGCGCAACGAGCCGAAGUGUGAUGCGGCGACGCCGCGAGCGUAAUGCCGUGUUUCGAGUGAUAAACCGCUUUCUCAUGAGCCGAGGCGAGAUUGACGGUAACGGGUAAGAAAGCACCGGCUAACUACGUG
rnacentral:rRNA from 1 species